rnacentral:rRNA from 1 species
AGGACGAACGCUGGCGGCGUGCUUAACACAUGCAAGUCGAACGAGGAAUGUUGAUAAGCUUGCUUAUGGCAUUCGAGUGGCGGACGGGUGAGUAACGCGUGAGGAACCUGUCUUCUACAGGGGGAUAACGUUUCGAAAGGGACGCUAAUAUCGCAUAAGACCACGGGACCGCAUGGUACUGAGGUCAAAGGAGGAAUCCGGUAGAAGGUGGCCUCGCGUCCCAUUAGGCAGUUGGCGGGUAACGGCCCACCAAACCGACGAUGGGUAGCCGACCUGAGAGGGUGAUCGGCCACAUUGGAACUGAGACACGGUCCAAACUCCUACGGGAGGCAGCAGUGGGGAAUAUUGGGCAAUGGGCGCAAGCCUGACCCAGCAACGCCGCGUGAGGGAAGAAGGUUUUCGGAUUGUAAACCUCUGUCCCGGGAGACGAGAAGGAGACGGUAUCCCGGGAGGAAGCCCCGGCUAACUACGUGCCAGCAGCUGC